rnacentral:lncRNA from 1 species
AUUCUCAUCCCUUUUUUUAAUAUACUGCAGUGGGUCUCUGGGGGGGCCAGUGCUUACCUGCGGGUUUCGUCCCCAGAGCAAGGUGUGUCCCCUCUGGGCACGUGGGAAGGAGGCAGAGCCCCCAGCUCAGGGCUGAGGCAGCCGCUGGGGCAGAGGGAUUUGCUUUGCCCCCUGAGAGUCGAGCUGCAGGAAGGCGCAUUCAGGCUCCAGCAAUGGUAGCCUCAAAUGUUGACUCAGCACCCACGCUCCCCCUUCUGCCUACAGCGAUGCAGUGAUGGCAGGUCUGUGUUAACCCCUCAGGUGCACAGCACCCAGCAGUGCAUAAAGGGCUCUCCCCAUUAACUGGGGUCACUGCUACCCUGUGAGGCAUUUAACAUGUGGGGAAAAGGAGACUCAGAGAGGGAAAGUAGCUUGUCUAAGUUAACACAGCCCAUAAGCAGAGGAUGCUCUAGAGCCAGUGCUUUGGCUCUACAUGGCCUUGCUGUCACCCUGGGAGAAAGCAAAUCCUGACCUCUCGGGACAUGGAGCCGGAGCUCCUGGUCGUCCGCACUGCCUCCACACAGAUAAGAACACCCGCACACACACUCCCACACUCCACCCCUAUCUAGCCCCUGCCCUUGACAGGAGCGGGGGUCUUGCUCACAUAGCGCAGACCCUCAGUGAGAUUGCUGUUACUCAGUUCCCCUUCCUUUCCCUCCCACCCACCUACCACCGUACCAUGCAUGUUAAAUGCAGUGGAAGAAAGAGAAGAAUACCACCCAGCAGCAUGAAAGGCAUGGCUUCCAUCCACUGAAGGAGGUGCAAGGGAUCCAGAGAGAGCACAAGUGUCAGCGCCUUCGCCAAGCACACGUCAGUCUGCCUGCCAGUGGUCUGAGCACAAUGGAAUUUCGGUGACCAUCGUCCCCAGCAGGAGGGGGCUGAACCGAGUUUGAACAUCACCAGCACUGCCAGGCCUUCCACGAUGCUUCAGACUCACCGUUCACAUUAGAGACAGAGGCCCAGCGAGGAGAGAGGACUUGCCCCGGCCGCCUGUCAAGCCAGGGCAGGGCAGGACUAGAAUCCGUGCCCCUUUAGGUGGCUGCUGUGGAUUUUUGUGGGUUGUGGCCAAAGCUGUUUCCUUGGCAUCUACUUCCUGCCCAGUCCAACUCUUGGGUCAGCCUCCCGAGUCCUCGUCUCAGUCCGGGCAGCCCGAGACCCUCCCAUCCAUGGAUCCCACAGGCCCGUCCACCUCAUGGUUGCCUCAUUGCCUGUGGCCUGGGUCUAGUCUCCAAAGCCUCAAUCCUGACCUUUUACCCGCUUUGCGUUUUCCAAAACAUCCUUUAAGGCAGGAGUACCUGGAAUGAUUCACGCUUUCCUCUUUAUUUAUUUAUUUUUCUGGUGAGUGAGAAGAUGAGUGAGGAGUUGGCACUUAUCCAAACAGAGGUGCUGAAGGAGACUGGAUCCCAAGGAUCCAGUUAGACGUUGGGGACGAGGAAGGCUGCCCAUGGAGCCGGGGGUGGGGUGGAUUUUGCAUUAGUGCCUCGUCCUCCAGCAAGUGCAGAUUCCCACAGGGCCCUUCCUGAGGCCUCAGGUGGGGCAGUGCAGGAGCCCACAACCCUUCUCAGUGGACAGUCUUCAGAGCAGACCUCUCCUCAGAAGAGGCUCUGCCUGUGGUCUGAGGAAAACCGAGGCUGCUUCGCCCUCUGGUCUUGCCUUUGCUCUUUUAAGGGAUUCCUGGGCCCUCCCUCCUUCCCCUGUCUUCGUCUUCCUGAAGUUUCCCUGGGAGGCCCAACCGGCAGCUCCCCAUUGGGACUGAGGACGGCAGAGGAGCCAGCUUACAGGAUGGGAGCUGCUAAAAGGAAUUUUUUUCCUUAAUUUUAUGAACCUCUCCCUCUUCUUCCUCUAAUUGUGACCGUUUCCUCUGUCGGCGUGUAUUCAUGUUUUCUUGGACAUCUAACAAUUGAAACGGCUUUUCCCUUUCAGAAACACUCACAUUCAGGUUACUGGCGUUGGUUGGGGUUUUGUUUUGGCUUUUUUUUUUUCAUCUGCUGCCAAUUAAUGGGGGGAAAAAAUGAGCUGGAUUUCUUUGAGGGAAAAAAAAAAAGCUCCCUGCCACACAAUAUCUCGCCUCAGCAUUUUGUCUCAGAACACAACCUCUAGCCCCUAACAGGCUGCGUUGCUCAGAGCCACAGGACUGUCGGGUUUUUUCCCCUUUCUUUCCCUCCGUCGCUGGCUUCAUUAUUGACCAUAAUGCCCCGACCACUUCAGCAGUAAUGUCCUUGAGCACUGAGGAGUCAGGGCCUUUUGGGCAGUGCCCCGACCGCCCCAGAACAAGAUGACAGCCCAGAAAGAAAGGAGGCUUUGUGGGGAGAGAUGGCCCACCUGCCUGUCAGGAGAGAGGCUCACAGAACACCUCUUCUAAAGAAAAUGGUAAAAAGGCUCCUCUUCAGGAAACUCAGCCAAUCCCAGCUGAGCUGUGCCUCCCCUCCCAGGGCAGUUCCAGGCUGGUGCCCCUCAGUGGCGAGUGGGUGAGCAGAGGGGAAUCAUGGUUUAACUUCCAGGAAGGGCCUGGCGUCAACAGGUGGAGCCCUUGGCAGACGCUCUGCUUCUCCUACAGUCACAGGACCCGGAGAUUGGCUUUUUAAGAUUUGGAACACCGAGCUCUGGCUGGCUUCAGGGAAGUGCUUGCUGUCACUUGACCAAGGGCCCAGCAGGGACAGACAUCCGGGCUUACCAUGUGCUCUCACAGACCCCAGGGACAGUGCGUGCAAAAGUGGGCAGACAGGGCAGGCUGGCAUUUGGAGUUGGCCCAUCGAUGCUCAUGAAGGGUCCUGGCUGGAUCAGAUGGUCAUCCAGCAAACUGCCAUGUCAUCCAGCAAACCGAUACCUUCCAGAAUUGAUUACCAGCAAAGACAAAUGGGGCAAGUUGUCCGGUGGAGCCAGCACAGCCCGGGGCUGUAGAUGCAGGAGCACCUUCCAGAACCCCCCAGAGACCCACUCAGGUAUCCCCUAGGCACUGACAGCCCCCAGCCCCUCCCCUUUCCUCAGGGCUGUUGUGUCACUGCCAGGAGCCUUGGGACUGCCACCUACUGCGAAAAAGUGUCCUGUAAAGAUCUACUGAUACAAUAAUUCUGUGCGAUAAGCUGGAUAAGCUGUAUAAUGUAUAUUUAAUGUGAAGCUUUUAAUAUACAAGUGUCUUGUUUAAAUGU